rnacentral:pre_miRNA from 1 species
AGAGGAAUAGCUGGGUCAAUGGUGGUUCCAUUCCCAUAUUUCCAAGGAAUCUCCAUACUGCUUUCCAAAUUGACUGCACCAAUUUGGAGUCCCACCAGCAAU